UCUGCGCUCUCAGCCACCCACAUCCUCCCUAGGGAAGGAAAUGUCUGAGGAUUGCAUCAUGCUGUUGUUUUAACUAAUUUCUCUUUGUAGAAAAUCGAAUUCAACAGAAACAGAAGCAGCCCAAGCGACUGCUUCUUCUGUGAGGGCUUGGAGAUCACCUUGAUGAGGCGACUAUGGAAGGUACCCAGCUCUCGGCCUCCUCGCAGCACAAGCCGCAGCACUAGACGGAAGUGCUUCCUCUUGUCGGCGUCAGAGAUGUACAGGGUCUUGGCACAACCAAAUUCCUACGGGGCUCAUGGGGAUGGGACCCGUGUUAUCUCAACUCUGCCGGCGCAUGCGCCAACCUUCCGCAGUUAUGACAUCCAUCUCAUCAGAGAUGACAAGAAGCCGUACUAGCUAGGUUCUGGAUCAGACCCCCCCCCCCACACACACUCUGGUCUCCCCCCUAGUCUCUUGGCUUCUGGAGAGGAAUCAGAGUCCUCCUUUGUAAAGAAGAGGCAGGGCUGGGGACAGGAAUUGGAUGCUCUGUCAUGUAGUCUCACCCUUGAGUCCGGCUGUUCUUCGAAAUUCAACUUCUGCGUCUCGGGAGCGCUGCCGGACGCACCGUCCAGUCCCAUGUAGCCGCAGACGGUGGGCCCGGUCUCCGCAGACUGGUGGGCUAGAAAAUGACCGGAAUUAACCUUGAAAGGACUGGGGAGACUCAGGGGCCAGUCAAACUCAGCUCUUGCCGCCAGAGGGCGCAACGAGACUGCUCCUGCAAACGGCUGGAUUCCCGGCCCAGCUGAAUUAGUUGGUCCUUCCUUCCUGCAGAGAACAGCCCCUGUGUGUGCUUCUCACCUUGGUCUUGCACUGGCUUUACCCUCCAGCCUGGACCGGCGAGGUAGACACAGGGCGGAGGACAGAAGAACCUGGGAACACGCAGAGAGCUGGAUAUAUCGUUUUCAUUGUCUUGAAAGUGUCUCAAAGAGACAUAAACCCAAGGACUGGUGAUUUUCCCCUCCUCUCCUAGUUGAGUGAAUCCUGCUAACACAGAACAUUCUCUUGCUUAUUAAAACCCCGUAAGUCCUGCCCACUCUUCAAAA